UUAAUUUUUUUUUUAAAGAAAUUUAUUUCCUUUUCUCCCUUCUUUCUCUUUCUUCUUUGUCACCUUCUAUAUCCUUUUCUAUUUCAAAUCAAUAUUAUCUGUUAUGCUUCCUCACAAACAAAUACGCAUACAUGCUCAUACUACUAUUAUUAUUACAAAGGUGACAAGCUGGCAGAAUUGUUAGCACAGCAGACAGAAUGAUUAGCAACAUUUCAUCCAUCUUUACAUUCCGAGUUCAAAUUCCACUGAGGUCAACUUUGCCUCUUAUCCCUUUGGAGUUGAUAAAAUAAACACCAGUUGAGCUCUGGGGUGGAUGUAAUCAAUUUACCCCUCCCUAGAAAUUGCAGGACUUGUGCCAAAAUUUGAAACCAUUAUUAUUAUUACAUUAUUACUAUCAUUAUCAUUAUUACCGAAGAUAGUGAGCUGGCAGAAACGGUAGAAUGUCAAGCGGUAGAAACGGUAGAAUGUCAAGGCGGUGAGCUGGCAGAAACGUUAGCACGCCAGGUGAAAUACUUAGUGGUAUUUCGUCUGCCGCUACAUUCUGAGUUCAAAUUCCACCGAGGUCAACUUUGCCUUUCAUCCUUUCAGUACAUUCUGCAAAGUGGAUGGCAUAGGAAGGGCAUCUAACUGUAGAAACCAAACCAAAACAGACAAUUGGAAUGUGAUGCAGCCCCUGACCUGGCCAGUUCCUGUCAAGCUGUCCAACCCAUGCCAGCAUGGAAAACAAGCAUUAAAUGUUGAUGAUGAUGAUGAUGAUGAUUAGUUCCCUCUAUGUGAUGUCCCCACCCCCUUAAAAUUGCUGGCCUUGUACCAAAAUUUGAAGCAUUUAUUAUUGUCAUCAUUAUUACCUCUGCCUUAGCAAAGGUGGAGGUAUUGUUUUUCAGUCACAUUUGUUUGUUUGUUUGUCCAUGGACAAGAUAUCUCAAGAACUGCUUGAUGGAUUCGAAUGAAACUUUCAGGGAUGUUUGGCCUCAGACAAGACAAAAUGCUUAGCAACAUUUUGUCGGACUAUACAUUCUGACUUCAAAUUCUGUUAACGUCAACUUUACCUUUCAUCCUUUUGUGAGUUGAUAAAAUAAGUACCAGUCAAAUACAUGGGUCAAUAUAAUCAACCGUUAUAUCCCCUUAAAAACGGCUGGCCUUGUGCCAAAAUUUGAAACCGUUGUAUACCAUUUGUUUAUCAUGCUAUCAUUAUUUGACUGCUCAGAAGUAGCAAUAGACAUAAUGUUUGUUUUCAUCAGGUCCGCAAACUUCAGACAUAAAGUACAUGUUUUUGUUUGUUUUUUGUUGGACAGAAGCGAUGUAGAUUUUUGUAUGGUAUUGAUAGCUGUCUUUAUUUACUACAGCUGUUUAAAGUAGAAUGAGUGUGUUUUAGAAAUUUAGGUUAGUGCUCCACCAUUAUUGAUUCUAUAAUUGCCCUCCCCCUCAUUCUUAAGAGAUGUAACCUAAGGUUUGAAUUCCUUUCAGGCAAUAUGGUGGUUCUCAUGUAUAACAACAAUGUCAUAAAACAUUUGUUGUUUCUCUAUCAACAAUCACACCAACACAUCUUCUGUGUUUUAUGAACCUGUCUAGAUUUAAUUUUAAAAGUCCCCAUAGUGAUAAUAUUUGUCGCCUACUAUUAGAAAAGGCAUGUAGCCUAGUGGUCAAGGUGUUUGGUGCGUGAUCAUAAGAUCAUGGGUUCAAUUCCUGGAUGAGUAGUGAACUGUGUCCUUGAACAAGACACUUCAUUUUAUACUGUUCCAGUCUGCUCAGCCACAGUAAAUGACUACAGGUGCUGGUGCAGCUCUCUCUCUCUCUCCCUCUCUCUCUCUCUUCCUCUCUCUCUUUCACCUUUUAUUUCAUCGACUCCAAAAGGAUGAAAGGCAUUUGAACUUGGAAGAUAAAGACCAAUGAAAUGCUGCAAAGCAUUCCAGGGCAAGUGUCUUCCAUUGUAGCCUUGACCCAACCAAAGCCAUGCGAGUAGAUUUGGCUGAUGAGAACUGAAAGAAACUUGUCUUGUGUGUGUGUGUUUUUGUGUGUGUGUGUGAUUUUAUGAUAGAUGUAAAGGAGUGUCACCAUUAUGCAAGAGGUGUCCUUCAUUUCCAGUCUUUCGUGAAAACAUGCCUGGUCAUAGGGAAAUAUCACCUUGCUUGGAAACAGAUGAGGGAUGGCAACAGGAAGGGCAUCCAGCCAUAGAAAGUCUGCCUCAACAAAUUCUCUCUGACUCAUGCUAGCAUGGAAAAGUAGGCAUUAAAUGAUGAUGACGACGAUGAUGAUGAUAGGGAGGAAGAGGAGGAAGAAUUGGUUUGCAAGAAGAAGACUAUGCCAAUGUCCUUUGUUGGUCCUGUCUCCACCCUGUCUUCAAAGAAUGUGUGAAAUCAAUACUGUUAACAUUUUUGAAUAAUAAUAAUUUGAUGAGUACAGGGAAAAAGAUGAUCGUAUCCCAGAGAAGAGGUGGAGGCAGCUUAGACAGAAUUAUUAGCAUGAUGUGAGUGGGGUAGCAAACAGGAACGGAUUAACACAGAUUUGGGUGUGACAAAACAAGGAGACAAGAUUACUAUGAUUGUACACCCAACCACCAUCGUUAUCACGACCAUCAUCACCCAAAUCGCUACCUCCACAUUUGAAAAUGGUUUUUAAAUCAUCUUAUCUCAGGACUCAGCUUGGGUUUGGUGUGAAGUAUAGCUGUGUUGGAAGGGGUUGAUGCUUGUCUGUGGGAAGUUAAGGAGCAGUGAACUGAAGUGUUAUUGGCAUAAGAGUGACAAAAUCCGAAGUAGAAUAAGUAAUGAUAGAAAGAAUAACCCUUUCUACUAUAGGCACAAGGCCUUGAAUUUCUGCAGAGGGGACUAGUCGAUUACAUCGACCCCACUACUUGACUAGUACUUAAUUUAUUGACCCCGAAAGGAUGAAAGGCAAAGUCAGCCUCAGUGGAAUUUGAACUCAGAACAUAACUAUUUAUUUAUUUAUUUAUUUAUUUAUGUGUUUCAGCCAAGUGGCUGCGGUCAUGCUGGUGCAUGCUAAGCAUUUCAUCCAGCAUGCUAACGAUUCAGCCAGCUCACUGCUUUGAUAGGAAGAAUAACGAGUUGUGAAAGAAGCUGUAUUGAAAACUGUAUUUCUUUAUUGCCCACAGGGGGCUACACACAGAGGGACAAACAAGGACAGACAAAGGGUUUAAGUCGAUUACAUCAACGCCAGUGCGUAACUGGUACUUAUUUAAUUGACCCCCCAAAAGGAUGAAAGGCAAAGUCAACCUUGGCGGAAUUUGAACACUCGAUGUAAUGGCAGAUGAAAUACCAUUAGGCAUUUCACCCAUCAUGCUAACAAUUUUGCCAGCUUGCCAAAACUGUAUUGAACACGAAAAAAAACAACAAAGAUUUUGCUUAAAAUAACAACAAAAUUCAUGUCAACAGGAAAAAAAAGCUGAUGUACAGAUGAUAAUGAUGAUGAUGAUGUCGAUUAUGAUGAUUUCAGAAUAUCAUUUCAAAAACUUACUAUAGAAUAAACAAACAAUAUAAAAAUAGGGAAAAACUUCCAUUUGACUGACUUCAUAACCAUUACUUCAUUCACCGCCAACCACAUCAAGGUAACAACAACACCAUCAUUAACGUUAACAACAAUAACAACAACAACAACAGCAACAAUAAUAAUGACAAGGACAAAAGCAUGAAUCAUUUUUCAAUAUGCAACAGCUGUGAAUGAAGGAAGGCAAUGGAGGUUAGAGAGAAACACAACAAUGCUUUAAGUCUCAAGGUCUUUAUUGGAAAAUAAAUAUGUCAGCUGUGAUAUAAAAGGAUCUAGAUAGAAAUACGUAACUGUGUGACCAAAAUAUAGGUCAAAUGUAAUUGUUGUGUUGUGUUGCUGUUGUUUCUAGCAAAUUUUGGUGGUAUACCUUCUCCAAAGUUCUCUAAUAUUUUUAUUGGUGUUUUUGUUGUUAUUAUCAUUAUUGUCGCUACUGUUGUUGUUUAGCACCAGAUUAACCCUUACUGAGGACACCUACAAUCAAAGGCAUUCUAGCCAUGGCCAUUGCAUAUAUAUUUUAUGCUGUUUCAAUAAAGAUAUGCUAUCCAGAUGUAUCUAGGACUACAUUAUGAAAUGUGCUUCCCUCUAUAUGAUAUAUAUAGGUGGCUGUGAGGUAAGAAGCUUGCUUUCCAACCACAUGGUUCAAGGUUCAGUCCCACUGUGUGACACCUUGGGCAAGUGUCUUCCCUCCACCCAGCCAUUGCUUGACGACCGAUGUCGAUGUAUUUAAGUCCCUGAAACUUAACAGUUCACUCAAAGAGACCGAUAGAAUAAGUUGUUGGCAUCCUUUUGUCUCGGGAGACAAUGGAGUUGCGCACAAACUAAUCCAGCCUGGUUUUUACAUUUCAUGUCCUCUCCAGUUUCCUCUCCAGUUUUGCGCAGGCCUGGGCUAGAUGUAAGAAAAUCCUGGGUAGCCCAAUCGUCAGGAUUCCUCUCUCGACCUUGCUGACAUAGUCCAAAGGAGUGCAGAGCAUUACGUUUGGCACCAGAUUGGUUUCAGGAGCUGCCAGAAGAGUGUCGAAUCGAACACUAAACCGCCUACGGGCCUCCACUCCAGAUUUCUUUGAAGGCUGUCUCCUUUCUGUAACCCUGGAUAGGGACCCAUACCUGGUACUGUCAGCUCGAGCCAGCCGAGCCCGGGACUCAUGUCAGGCAGAGUCGUCACUCCCUGAAGUAGUGAAGAAAAUUGCUACCCACUACCUAAAUAGAAUAAGUACUAGGCUUACAAAGAAUAAGUCUUGGUGGUCUAAACAACAGACUAAGGGUCUACAACUUCUUGCUGAACAACCAGCGGAGAUGAUUUGUUUGCAGUGAUCACAUAUUGGUGCUACACAUUAGCUCACUCCUCUCCAUCAAAUUGACAUUACCUGUCAGGUGUAUGGGAGUGCCACAUGUUGGAUGUCAAAGCAAUUGCAGAGCGAACUGAAAUGAAGUAUUUUCCUUAAGAACACAAUGCAUUGCCCGGUCUGGGAAUUGAAACCACAAUCGUGAGUGCAACACCUUAACCAUUAAGUCAUGUGCGCUUAUAUAUAUUUCAUCAUCAUCAUCAUCAUUGUUUAAUGUUUGCUUUCUAUGCUGGUAUGGGUUGGACGGUUUGACAUUGAGAUGGCUAGCAGGGAGCUGUCCAGACUCCAGCUGCCUGUUGAGGCAUUGGUUUCUAUGAUUGGAGAUGUGUGUGUGGUGUGUCUACAAACGUAUAUACAUGUAGACCAUUUCUGAAGACUGUGAAAUAUGAUUUGAGGGAGAUUUCUUUAACAUUUCUAUAAUGAUGUGUGACUGUACACAACCAUUCUUGUUUAAUUAUUUGUUUAUGAUGACAAUUAAGCCCUAAUUAACACUUGAAUUGAGUAAUAUGUGAUAGCUUAGUUUCCAACGCCUAAAAUGGUGAUGGGUAGUGUAGGGUCAAAUUUGAGUUUUAUAUCUUUAUUCAUUUUGUUGUUAGUGUGAAAGAGUUGAAAUGAAUUGCUGCUAAACACUAAAUGGGCAGGAUCCACUUAAUCAAUUGUUGCCUCUGAAAAAAAUCUGUGGCCUUGUGCUAAUGCUACAAAUCAAUAUUG